rnacentral:sRNA from 1 species
AUAUAAUCUAUACAGUUAAUUGAUUUACAUGUAAUAUUGGAUUUUCUUCACUUCACCUGUGUCAUACUCAGCCACAAAGAGGUUGUCUCUGGUGUCCACACAUAGACCAUAUGGAAGCCGUAAAUGACAGUUGUCAAUGUAGCGGAGGAACUGUCCGUCCUGAUCCAGGAUGUGGAUACGGCGGUUGUUACUGUCUGCUGUCAGGAUCCGACCCUGGCUGUCUGUUGUGAUGCCGUAUGGAUAGAACAAUCUCUUGGUAGUAGAGGGAGGACCAGUGUAGGUAAACCGGAGUUUCCCGGCCUGAUUGACCACCACUACUGCACUGGCUCUAUUGUCUGACACACAGAUAUCUAGGUUCCUGUUCUCACUGAUGUAUUUAGUGCCACCAGAUGAAUAGAGAGGUUGUCCUUUGUCAUCGUACUGAAUACUUUGUUUCUCUGUGGAGCCAGAGUAACACACAACUUUUGUUUGUUUUCUAUCAUCAUCAAUGUCCAUGACAACCAGGAGGUCACCAGAGGAGGUACUACAGACACCCCAAGGUCUCCACCCCCGUAGUCUGAUCACUGUCUGUAUCUGUGUAUCCUUCACUAUGUUCACAGUUCUAUCUCUGUAAUCAGUAUAAACUAGAUCCCCACUCCUUGUCACUGCUAUGUCUUGUGGAUUGUUUCCUGACUUGGUUUGGAUGGACUCCACUAUUUCCCCCUGGAGGUUGUAGAGGUUCAUCAUGUUGCCAUAACCACACAUCCAGAUCUCUGUAUCAUUCACACACAUCACACGAUAUAUUCCAACCUCAUACUCUGUGUCUAUAGCUGUGAUGACCCGGGGUACAUCCAUCAGUGACCGGUCUGGGGGAGAGGACUCGGCUCCCUGGGGCGGCAUGCUGUAGUCUUGUUCCUCUGUUGUAAAAGAUAAUGCUGACAGAGAACCAAACUGUUCAAUCAGCUGAUCUGUGUGGAUUUCCUGAGGCCUAAAGUUUGGUAAGGACACUUUGAGUUUAGGAGGCAAUCUUCUAAAUUCAGCGUUCCUGGAUUUGUACUCAGAGACAAGGCUGACAUCUUUGGAGUUCAGUAACUUCUUCAGUUUAGCAAUGGUCUGUGUGAUUUCAGAAAUGGUGUGUGUGAUUUCAUCUUCCUGUUUAUUUAGGAUGGGCAGGUGUUUGGAUUCCGUUUCCUCCACGUUAGAUUUCAUGUUUGUGAUAAUGGUGUCUAUUUCUCUGUGCCAGACUUCUCCUUGUUUGUCAAUUGCAGUUGUCAAUUUCCGGGAGUUUUUACUCAGAUCAGCUUUCUGCACUGGGAUGUCUGAUGCAAUCUCUUUGUAUUUAGGAUAAAUGAAUAUUUCUAAUUCUUGCAAAUCUUUUUGUAAAAUUUCUGUUUUGUUUUCAAAGCUUUGGAAAAUGUCAACUUGUUUAUGUCCUAAAUGUUUUCCAGAAGAAAUACACUUUGCACAAAUAGGAAUGUCACAUUGUUCACAAUGGAGUUCACAUUGUUUGGUGGGGUGUUUCCUACAUUUAGGAUUGUUCAAAGUGGUUAGAUAUUGUUUAAGUGGCACCACAUUAUGAACUUUAGAGGAAUCAGAGAAAUGUUUCUCUACACAGUCUUUACACAGAUGUAUAUGACAAACUUCACAGUACAUGGGGGCCACAGAGUACUGACACAGGGUGCAGCGUACAACAUCCUGGGCACUGUUCCAGGGGUCCAUGGUCAGGGAACCCUUGUAACUAAUGGGGAACUAAACCUGGAAAAUAAAAUGCAGUAUGUAUUUAUGAUGUAUAGGUUUAUUAUCUUGGUUUGAGUAAUAUCUCUAUACAUGUAUCUGUAGGAAUUAAAGAUUCCAUUUCAUGCAGUACACUUUCAUUUGUGGUCAUACAAAGUAAUUUGUUUUUGCUUUUUAUUAAAAAAAUUAUGAAUUUAACCAAUAUAAGGCAUAAAAAUUAUUAGUCCAAAGAUUUUAGAUUAUCAAGAAAGUUGAUUAUAAAUCUUACCUAACGCUACCCCAUUGGUAAACUACAAAUCUUCACGAUCCAACAUGGCUGGCGUCAAGUGUUUAUUCUUCCUGGUUGUGUUUAUUCUUCCUGGUUGUUUAAUGCUACCUGUGCAAGAUCAGGUGAUCGAAUUAAAUGCCAGUUACAAACUUGUGCUUGUAUGUGUGUUGGUCUAGAAUCAAUAUCACCCAUUGUUGGGAGGUUUAAAUAUAUCUGACAUUCUUUAUCAUUGCUGAACAUAUAUUUAAUACAGCUUAAAAAUGUAGGUUAUUGGGUAUUCAUUUUGGUUUGAAAAGAUAGUAAUUGGGUUUUGACUUAAGAUUCUCCUGUUCAAUAGAUAUUUCUCUAU